UACAGGGGGUGCAGACGUUGCUCGGAAUCAUUGGGCGUAAAGAGCGCGCAGGCGGUCGUUCAAGUCGCGUGUGAAAGCCCCCGGCUCAACUGGGGAGGGUCACGCGAUACUGAUCGACUCGAAGGCAGGAGAGGGAAGUGGAAUUCCCGGUGUAGUGGUGAAAUGCGUAGAUAUCGGGAGGAACACCAGUGGCGAAGGCGACUUCCUGGCCUGUUCUUGACGCUGAGGCGCGAAAGCUAGGGGAGCAAACGGG
rnacentral:rRNA from 1 species